GAUCCUGGGAUUUAGGUGCCUUUCGCCUGAAAACACACAUGUCCAUUCAACACUCUGGAGGGACCUGAGCACUGGCCUUCCCUGGACUCCAGCGAUAACACCUUGAGCUUGGAGGAGGAAG
rfam:Myotis davidii contig82247, whole genome shotgun sequence.